rnacentral:rRNA from 1 species
GAUCCUGGCUCAGGAUGAACGCUGGCGGCGUGCUUAACACAUGCAAGUCGAGCGAAGCACUUUGGUUUGAUUCUUCGGAUGAAGACCUUUGUGACUGAGCGGCGACGGGUGAAGGUAACGCGUGGGUAACCUGCCUCAUACAGGGGGAUAACAGUUAGAAAUGACUGCUAAUACCGCAUAAGACCACGGUACCGCAUGGUACAGUGGUAAAAACUCCGAUGGUAUGAGAUGGACCCCGCGU